rnacentral:rRNA from 1 species
CAGUGGGGAAUCUUAGACAAUGGGCGCAAGCCUGAUCUAGCCAUGCCGCGUGAGUGAUGAAGGCCUUAGGGUCGUAAAGCUCUUUCGCCUGUGAAGAUAAUGACUGUAGCAGGUAAAGAAACCCCGGCUAACUCCGUGCCAGCAGCCGCGGUAAUACGGAGGGGGUUAGCGUUGUUCGGAAUUACUGGGCGUAAAGCGCGCGUAGGCGGACAUUUAAGUCAGAGGUGAAAUCCCAGGGCUCAACCCUGGAACUGCCUUUGAUACUGGGUGUCUUGAGUUCGAGAGAGGUGAGUGGAAUUCCGAGUGUAGAGGUGAAAUUCGUAGAUAUUCGGAGGAACACCAGUGGCGAAGGCGGCUCACUGGCUCGAUACUGACGCUGAGGUGCGAAAGUGUGGGGAGCAAACAGGAUUAGAUACCCUGGUAGUCCACACCGUAAACGAUGAAUGCCAGUCGUCGGGCAGUAUACUGUUCGGUGACACACCUAACGGAUUAAGCAUUCCGCCUGGGGAGUACGGUCGCAAGAUUAAAACUCAAAGGAAUUGACGGGGGCCCGCACAAACGGUGGAGCAUGUGGUUUAAUUCGAAGCAACGCGCAGAACCUUACCAACCCUUGACAUCCUGUGCUACAUCCAGAGAUGGAUGGUUCCCUUCGGGGACGCAGUGACAGGUGCUGCACGGCUGUCGUCAGCUCGUGUCGUGAGAUGUUCGG